UCCAAUAGAAGGUCCAGGUUCUUCUAUUGUAAGGACUAGAUAUUGGACCUGGCACUUUUGAAGAAAAUCUGCCGUCCAUGGGCUAUCUGGAAAGCACCACCCUCAACCCCCUUGUGAGUGCCACCAGCACCUACCUACCACCUUUGAUCACGCAAUAGUGUCCGGAGCACAAAUUGCAAACCAGAGAUGGGCCUUUGGUGAUUACACUGCAGUUGGUUCCCAAGAUGUUAGAACCACUUGUGUCAGAAUGGUUGCCACAUGCUUUUGUUGUAUAUUUCAAGCUGGAAACUGACCCCGACAUCCUCAUUAAGAAGCUUAUACAAGAUGAAUACGAGGAAACAUCAAGUAACAAUAGUGGAGGCUGAAAUACACCACAACAUUCCUAUUGCCUAGUAUCUCUAGUAUUAACUAGUAUCUCUAAGUUAUCUCAGUCAUGUGUAUCCUUCUACUGAAGUAGCUCUGAAACCAAUGAUGCAUUUUUUUCUUGUAUGCCUAAAGCUUGUAGAUUGUUGAGAAUAUAUUUCUGAUUCUGGCUAUCAAAAGCUUUACUUUGUUUAUUUUUAAUAUUGUAAAAUGUUUUAUUGAAGGAGGCAAUUUAGUUCAAUUUUUUUUAUUUUUGUAUUAUAUUUGUUUAUAAUUUAAGAAUCUAAUUUAUAACACUAUGUAUGUACAAUAUUUAAUUGAACUAAGGCAGUUUGAAUGAGAUAAUGUUUGAAUAAAAUUAUAUAGUUUAAGGAGAUAUUUAUAAACCGUUUUUAUUAGGUGAUUAGUAUAAUUUAUCAUGGUGUUACUGUGACAACCAAGCUAACGGUUUGCUCAUAUAAUAGCUUUAAGUUUUGUUUUUGUAUUUGUUAAUCAUUGUAGAACUUGAUGUAAGUCUCGUUUUACUUAUUGUACUUAUAUUGUAAUAAUGCAUGUUAUAAUAUCGGUUUAUAAUUUGAAGUACAUAUUUUCUUCUUCUUCACUCGUUUUGUGAAUACCAUCUUAUCCCUCCAUGUGAAGAGCCAUUGUGAUAGGGAGAUGCCAGUUAUUUUUGUGUGUUAACUGUUACAAUCAGUGUCAGUCAGUAUAGGCAAGUCUAUUCUAUAAUAUUGUCCUGUGAUUUAUGAGGGUUGAUUAUAGAUACAAACAUCUAUACAACAUUAAUUUGGUUGUGAGAAUUUAGGCAUUAAGUAGUAAACAUUGUUUUUAUAUAAUUUCUUUACAUACUGUGAGAUAAUAUUGUACAGUUGACUUUAGAAUACUUUAUCUUGUUUUGAAUGCGUCUGUUCUCUUAUACAACAACAACGUAGAAAUUUAAUUUACAAAGAACUGUAAUGCAUUUGUAAAUCAGUUGAAUUCUA